GAGAGAAUGUAAGGAUAAACAUUAAAGAAUGAAUUAUUUUAAACUAAUUGCUUUGUCCCUCCUUGGAUUUCAAGAUGUAUUUAGAGGAGUGAAAUGAGGAUUUCAUCUACCAGACAUCAUCCACACAUCUCCCAGAAGGCAAUAAGUGGGGAAAAAGGGCACACAAAUGCUUUGUCUAUGACUUCCAUUCUACCAUGUGAUUAAAAUGUCACCACCAACUGAAAAAAGAAUGAGGAGAAGCCAGUAGGAGCCAAUACUUACAAUAAUUUGAACCAGCUUGAACUGUUGCCCCCCAGUCAGGCCACCUGCCUUGGAACCAGCUGAUUAUGGACUGAAACAAACUACACAGUCUAAAAACGCAAUGAUCACCACUUAAAAUGUGAUAAUGAUACAGGAAAAGUAUAACACCAAACCUGCUCGUGUUCAGAUGUGCCGAGUUUGAAAAUGAAUUCCAGAAGACAAAGCAGGUAAAGAAUAGGAAAGAUUUAUUAAGACAUAGUCUCUGAAACACAAGAGGGGUCUCAGAAAUGGAUUGUCACUGAAGGCUCUGUGAAAUACAACUUGUCCAGCAUGUGGAUACAACAUGGUUCAAACUAUAAUCAAUCAGCAAGAAUAUAAAUAUAGCCACUUAGCUCUUAUUGAUCCAAUAGGAAGCAGAGUGCCAGGGUAUGGGACUGACAUCACUAGCCUUGGUUAUCUAUGACUUCUCAAACAAGAACAUUUUGAGAAUGGAUAAGUCCAGCUGUUCGGGUCACCCAUUGGGUGUCCAAUACAUAUCUAGUUUUAAUGGACUGGAUGAUACCAAUUACAAUGUAAUCUUAAGUCCCAUUCACCCUUUAGGGAUGUAUGUAAAUCUGUACAUUGUAUUUUAAUCUUGAGGCCUUGCCUUCUUCAGAUACACCUUCAUGUUAGGGACCAAAAAUCACAAUGGCUAGUGUUGCACACUUCCAUAAGAGAUUAACAGAGGCUUGAAAUUUUGUGUAUCACACUUUUGAGAUUUUCCAUUAUCCCUAUAGGGGCAACUCAUCCUCUCCCAUGUACUAAGAUUAAGUUUAAAACUAUGAAGAGUAAAGUAUCUCCAGGGCAAGAUUCUCAUUAGUGUAAAACCACAGCUACCUGCUAAAUUACUGUCAUCCGAUCAUCCCCUCCCCCAUCAAUAAAUGCUGAGGUCAAGUUUCCUUGUGGCUGCUGUGUAGCCUUGUGAACAACUGGUCAUCCUGGAUCCCCUUGUACCACCACUUUGUC